AAUUAAUUGCAGUAUUUUUGAAGGCACACCCUUACAAUAAAGAAUGAAUUAUCAAAAUUUUUACAAUCCACUUCUCCAGGCAACAUUAAUCGUUUAAUAUUUCAUGAAUGUUUAUAUGGUUUUCCUCUAUUUGGGAAGAACACAAAUAACUCAUAAAACAAUUAAGGUAAAAAAAAAAGUUUAGAGACUUUUUAAGUAACUGACCAAUUUCAUUUUUCAAUUUUAAAUGACACUCCACUAACUUGAUGAAAUGCAGUACCAAUAUGCUGCGACGUUGUGUAAAUUGAAAAUGAGUGGAAGAGAAAUAAUUCAAUUGAAUACAAAAUUAGAGUGUAGACAACUAAUGAGUUAUUUAUCUCUAAUGACCCAAAAUUGAUUAAUAAACUGUAUUUAAUUAAUGGACUAUCUCCAAUGAAUAUAAAAUUACGGUCUCCACUAAUUAUUAUAUAUAAAAUUAAAUAUUAAGUUUGGUUUGGUUCUGAUUUUUGAACUAGAACUAAACCAUAACCAAAACUAAAUAGUUUUCGGUUCAAAGAACCAAAACCAUUAAUUUUUUUGAUAGAACUGAACUCAACCGCUUGGUUUGGUUUUGUUCGGUUCUGGUCUGAUUUGGUUUGGUCUGGACAUUUUGUUCACCCCUACAUAUAAUAGAAUGGAACAGAUGAAGUAUGGUUUUACUUUCAUGGUAUAGUAUAAAAUAAAUGCAGAAUGAAGAUAAUAUAGAUGUGUUCGCCCACAGCCCUAGAGACAGGAGUAUCAAUUCAGUUUGAAAUGUUCUGAUGCAUUAAUCAAACUUCUUUUAUUUUCUCACUUGAAAUUUCUAUAAUAAUCACCUGACUGCUCUUGCAUUUCCUUUUUCUCCAUCCCCAGCCUGUAAACAUGGAUAACACACAAAAUUGAGUCAUAGCCAGGUUAUCUUAUCCCUUGGAAAAUGUAUAC
rnacentral:lncRNA from 1 species